GACGAACGCUGGCGGCGUGCUUAACACAUGCAAGUCGAACGGAAAGGCCCUGCUUUUGUGGGGUGCUCGAGCGGCGAACGGGUGAGUAACACGUGAGUAACCUGCCCUUGACUUUGGGAUAACUUCAGGAAACUGGGGCUAAUACCGGAUAGGAGCUCCUGCUGCAUGGUGGGGGUUGGAAAGUUUCGGCGGUUGGGGAUGGACUCGCGGCUUAUCAGCUUGUUGGUGGGGUAGUGGCUUACCAAGGCUUUGACGGGUAGCCGGCCUGAGAGGGUGACCGGCCACAUUGGGACUGAGAUACGGCCCAGACUCCUACGGGAGGCAGCAGUGGGGAAUAUUGCAAAAUGGGCGGAAGCCUGAUGCAGCAACGCCGCGUGCGGGAUGACGGCCUUCGGGUUGUAAACCGCUUUCGCCUGUGACGAAGCGUGAGUGACGGUAAUGGGUAAAGAAGCACCGGCUAACUACGUG
rnacentral:rRNA from 1 species